rnacentral:rRNA from 1 species
GUGCCAGCAGCCGCGGUAAUACGGAAGGUCCGGGCGUUAUCCGGAUUUAUUGGGUUUAAAGGGAGCGUAGGCGGUAUUUUAAGCGUGUUGUGAAAUGUAGAUGCUCAACAUCUGAAUUGCAGCGCGAACUGGAGUACUUGAGUGCGCAGGAAGUUGGCGGAAUUCGUCGUGUAGCGGUGAAAUGCUUAGAUAUGACGAAGAACUCCGAUUGCGAAGGCAGCUGACUGUAGCGUAACUGACGCUGAAGCUCGAAAGUGCGGGUAUCGAACAGGAUUAGAUACCCUGGUAGUCCGCACGGUAAACGAUUGAUGCUCGCUGUUCGGCCUUCGGGUUGAGCGGCUAAGGGAAACCAUUAAGCAUCCCACCUGGGGAGUACGCCGGCAACGGUGAAACUCAAAGGAAUUGACGGGGGCCCGCACAAGCGGAGGAACAUGUGGUUUAAUUCGAUGAUACGCGAGGAACCUUACCCGGGCUUGAACUGCAGGUGAACGAUACAGAGAUGUUGAGGUCCUUCGGGACACCUGUGGAGGUGCUGCAUGGUUGUCGUCAGCUCGUGCCGUGAGGUGUCGGCUUAAGUGCCAUAACGAGCGCAACCCCUGUCCUUAGUUGCCAUCACUUCGGGUGGGCACUCUGGGGAUACUGCCACCGUAAGGUGUGAGGAAGGUGGGGAUGACGUCAAAUCAGCACGGCCCUUACGUCCGGGGCUACACACGUGUUACAAUGGCGUGUACAGAGAGUUGGUACUGGGCAAUCAGUAUCUAAUCAAUAAAACACGUCUCAGUUCGGAUUGGGGUCUGCAACCCGACCCCAUGAAGCUGGAUUCGCUAGUAAUCGCGCAUCAGCCAUGGCGCGGUGAAUACGUUCCCGGGCCUUGUACACACCGCCCGU